rnacentral:rRNA from 1 species
UACGGGGGGAGCAAGCGUUGUUCGGAUUUACUGGGCGUAAAGGCGCGUAGGCGGCCAGUGCAAGUCAGUUGUGAAAUCUCCGAGCUUAACUCGGAAAGGUCAACUGAUACUGCUCGGCUAGAGUGCGGAAGGGGCAACUGGAAUUCUUGGUGUAGCGGUGAAAUGCGUAGAUAUCAAGAGGAACACCUGCGGCGAAGGCGGGUUGCUGGGCCGACACGUGACGCUGAAGCGCGAAAGCUAGGGGAGCGAACGGG